UAAUUUAAAGUCUAGCCUGCCCAAUGAAUAAUUUAAAUGGCCGCGGUAUAUUGACCGUGCUAAGGUAGCAUAAUCAUUAGUUUUUUAAUUGAGAACUGGUAUGAAUGGUUGGACAAAGAAAUUACUGUCUCAAGUUUAAUUUAAUUAGAAUUUUAUUUUUAAGUUAAAAAGCUUAAAUAUUUUUAAAAGACGAGAAGACCCUAUAGAGUUUUAUAUUAUAAUUUGAUUUUAAUUUAAAGAAUUUUAUAUUUUAUUUUUUUUAUAGUAUUUUGUUGGGGUGACAAAAAAAUUAAAAUAACUUUUUUAUUAAAUUUACAUUAAUAAAUGAUUAAUUGAUCCAUUAUUUAUGAUUAAAAGAUUAAAUUACCUUAGGGAUAACAGC
rnacentral:rRNA from 1 species